rnacentral:rRNA from 1 species
GACGAACCGUGCGAACGUUGUUCGGAAUCACUGGGCGUAAAGGGCGCGUAGGUGGCCCGACAAGUCCGUGGUGAAAGCUCGACGCUCAACGUCGAGUCGGCCAUGGAUACUGUUGGGCUGGAGCACUGUAGAGGCUCAUGGAAUUCCGGGUGUAGCGGUGGAAUGCGUAGAGAUCCGGAAGAACACCGGUGGCGAAGGCGGUGAGCUGGGCAGUUGCUGACACUGAGGCGCGACAGCGUGGGGAGCAAACAGG